rnacentral:rRNA from 1 species
AUUGAACGCUGGCGGCAGGCCUAACACAUGCAAGUCGAACGAGUGGCGGACGGGUGAGUAAUGUCUGGGAAACUGCCUGAUGGAGGGGGAUAACUACUGGAAACGGUAGCUAAUACCGCAUACCAUCGGAUGUGCCCAGAUGGGGUUAGGUCGUAGGUGGGUUAAAGGCUCACCUAGGCGACGAUCCCUGGCUGGUCGGAGAGGAUGACCAGCCAAACUGGAACUGAGACACGGUCCAGAGUGCUACGGGAGGCAGCAGUGGGGAAUAGUGGACAAGGGGCGCAAGCCUGAUGCAGCCAGGCGGCGUGUAUGAAGAAGGCCGUCGGGGUGUAAAGUACUUUCGGCGGGGAGGCGUUACCCGCAGAAGAAGCACCGGCUAACUCCGUGCCAGCAGCCGCGGUAAUAC